rnacentral:misc_RNA from 1 species
AUACAAAGUGUUGCGGCCCUGUUUGUCAAUUCAGACAGAAAACUGCUUUCUUUCACACUGGAAGUUCUGUUUGGCUCUUGUGUCUGUUCAGUGACAGGCCCUGUAGCAGAGAUUCCAAUUUUGUUCUCGUCAAACUUUGCAGCACGUAUAAGUGCAGGACUAGAUGCACUGUUUGUGCCUUGAGAAUGAUCAAUGAAACCUUG